rnacentral:rRNA from 1 species
GGACGAACGCUGGCGGCGUGCCUAAUACAUGCAAGUCGAGCGAACAGAGAAGGAGCUUGCUCCUUYGACGUUAGCGGCGGACGGGUGAGUAACACGUGGGCAACCUACCUUAUAGUUUGGGAUAACUCCGGGAAACCGGGGCUAAUACCGAAUAAUCUGUUUCACCUCAUGGUGAAACACURAAAGACGGUUUCGGCUGUCGCUAUAGGAUGGGCCCGCGGCGCAUUAGCUAGUUGGUGAGGUAACGGCUCACCAAGGCGACGAUGCGUAGCCGACCUGAGAGGGUGAUCGGCCACACUGGGACUGAGACACGGCCCAGACUCCUACGGGAGGCAGCAGUAGGGAAUCUUCCACAAUGGGCGAAAGCCUGAUGGAGCAACGCCGCGUGAGUGAAGAAGGAUUUCGGUUCGUAAAACUCUGUUGUAAGGGAAGAACAAGUACAGUAGUAACUGGCUGUACCUUGACGGUACCUUAUUAGAAAGCCACGGCUAACUAC